UGGUGGAAACAAAGAGCUGCAAAACCGUAAGUCAAGCCAAUCUCAAAAACACCAUCUCAGUCCGGAUUGAAGUCUGCAACUCGACUUCAUGAAGUUGGAAUCGCUAGUAAUCGCAGAUCAGCACGCUGCGGUGAAUACGUUCCCGGGCCUUGUACACACCGCCCGUCACACCACGAAAGUGGUCUUAACCAGAAGUCGCUGAGCUAACCGCAAGGAGGUAGGCGACCAAGGUCGGGNCCGUGAUUGGGGUGAAGUCGUAACAAGGUAACC
rnacentral:rRNA from 1 species